rnacentral:rRNA from 1 species
AUGAGCCAGCUCGCAUCCUUUUCGAGAGCCCGCGUCCUUCCCACGAACCCUACCGCUGCCCCGCUCCUCCUCCUCCCACCUCAGUCGCCUCCCCCUAGACGCCGCCGCCUCCUCCCACCUCAGUCGCNNGGGCGCCACGAGGAAUGGAAGGUUGAGUUCGUUCGACGGCCGGUGCAGCAGGAGCAAGGAGCCAACUGUGGUCAAUGGCUAACCUCUAUCUCCUCUCUCUCUCUAUGGUUGAGAAGAAGGCCAAAUAGACGAAGAAGAAUUUGGCUCGAAAGUCUUGCCAAGGGUACGAUAAAAUUAGGCACAAUGGCAAGAUCUGUAGCAUCUACUGUGAACACAAAGCGGAGAAAAGGGAUUGCUUCCUCGUCCGAUUCAUGUUUCGGCAGUGCCGUGGGGGCUGUCGAGGUAAGCUCCAUUGACCCCCACCACGGCUUGCCCUUCCAAGCUUUCCUCCUCUCUGCCAUCCACGCGGCCAUCGGUGGUGCAGUAGGGGAGGCAACUCAGGUCAGGUGA